AACGCACAUUGCGCCCUUUGGCAUUCCGAAGGGCAUGCCUGUUCGAGCGUCAUUAUCAACCCUCAAGCCCGGCUUGCAGUUGAGCCCCGCCCGUGACACGGCCGGCUCGAAAGACAGCGGCGGCGUCGGACCGACCCCGGAUGCAACGAGCUCACGAGCACGCAUCGCGCGGCCGGCCGGCGCCCGCCUCGAACCCCCCACUUCAAUGGUUGACCUCGGAUCAGGCAGGGAUACCCGCUGAACUUAA
rnacentral:misc_RNA from 1 species